rnacentral:rRNA from 1 species
CCUUCGGGAGGCAGCAGUGAGGAAUAUUGGUCAAUGGGCGAGAUCCUGAACCAGCCAAGCCGCGUGAGGGAAGACGGCCCUAUGGGUUGUAAACCGCUUUUGUCGGAGGACAAAACCCGGGACGUGUCUCGGGCUGCGAGUAUCCGACGAAAAAGCAUCGGCUAACUCCGUGCCAGCAGCCGCGGUAAUACGGAGGAUCCAAGCGUUAUCCGGAUUUAUUGGGUUUAAAGGGUGCGUAGGCGGUCCGUUAAGUCAGCGGUAAAAUUGCGGGGCUCAACCCCGGCGAGCCGUUGAAACUGGCAAACUUGAGUUGGCGAGAGGUACGCGGAAUGCACGGUGUAGCGGUGAAAUGCAUAGAUAUCGCGCAGAACUCCGAUUGCGAAGGCAGCGUACCGGCGCCAGACUGACGCUGAGGCACGAAAGCGUGGGGAGCGAACAGGAUUAGAUACCCGAGUAGUC